rnacentral:rRNA from 1 species
UACGAAGGGGGCUAGCGUUGCUCGGAAUCACUGGGCGUAAAGGGUGCGUAGGCGGUUCUUUAAGUCAGGGGUGAAAUCCUGGAGCUCAACUCCAGAACUGCCUUUGAUACUGAAGAUCUUGAGUUCGGGAGAGGUGGGUGGAACUGCGAGUGUAGAGGUGAAAUUCGUAGAUAUUCGCAAGAACACCAGUGGCGAAGGCGGCUCACUGGCCCGAUACUGACGCUGAGGCGCGAUAGCGUGGGGAUCAAACAGG